rnacentral:rRNA from 1 species
UGGGGAAUUUUGGACAAUGGGGGGAAACCCUGAUCCAGCCAUCCCGCGUGUGCGAUGAAGGCCUUCGGGUUGUAAAGCACUUUUGGCAGGAAAGAAACGUCGCGGGUUAAUACCCCGCGAAACUGACGGUACCUGCAGAAUAAGCACCGGCUAACUACGUGCCAGCAGCCGCGGUAAUACGUAGGGUGCAAGCGUUAAUCGGAAUUACUGGGCGUAAAGCGUGCGCAGGCGGUUCGGAAAGAAAGAUGUGAAAUCCCAGAGCUUAACUUUGGAACUGCAUUUUUAACUACCGGGCUAGAGUGUGUCAGAGGGAGGUGGAAUUCCGCGUGUAGCAGUGAAAUGCGUAGAUAUGCGGAGGAACACCGAUGGCGAAGGCAGCCUCCUGGGAUAACACUGACGCUCAUGCACGAAAGCGUGGGGAGCAAACAGGAUUAGAUACCCUGGUAGUCCACGCCCUAAACGAUGUCAACUAGCUGUUGGGGGCCUUCGGGCCUUGGUAGCGCAGCUAACGCGUGAAGUUGACCGCCUGGGGAGUACGGUCGCAAG